CAUAGGGGGAGGGGUUAUCUCCCAGCAAGUGAGAGAGCAAGGGAGCACAAAAUCAGAACUUUUACAAGUCUGCUCCACUUAGAGACGUCAAUUCAGAGGCUAAGCAGAGGAUGGAAUCCUUGUGGUGACAGUGUGGUCUCAGGACUUACAGUGGCUUCCCUGAAGUUUCAGAAAUACCCAUGUUAAAGAGAAGGCAUUUGACAUGAGAGGAGAAAAUCAGCUGACCUUGCUAACCAGAUCUUCCUCUUCCCCUGUGCCCUGAGAAUAGAUGUUUUCUGGUAAUGGAGAAGCUGGGCAUCAU
rnacentral:lncRNA from 1 species